AUUAUACUCCCUCCGUUCGAAAAUACUUGUCAUCAAAAUGGACAAAAAGGGAUGUAUCUAAAACUAAAAUACAUCUAGAUACAUCCCUUUUAUCCAUUUUGCUGACAAGUAUUUCCGGACGGAGGGAGUAUAUA
rnacentral:pre_miRNA from 1 species